rnacentral:lncRNA from 1 species
UAGAUCGAGUGACAUUCGAAAAUGUAAAGUAAAGUGACACUAGAGUUAGUGUGAGACAAAGAACCAAUGUGAUGUAAAGAAUGAUGAAAAUGACUAAAGUAAAGUAAAGUGGGACAAAAGAACAUGCAAAGAGUAAAGAAUAAGAAUGCUAAAGGUAGCCAAAAGCAAAGAAAUGUAAAGAACAUGAUUGAUCUCAUAUGUAAAGAGUAAAGAACAAGAAUGCUAAAGUUAGCAAAAGUAAAGAAUAUGAUUGCUUGAGUUAGCAACAUAAAGUGAUGUAAAUA